UACGUAGGUGGCGAGCGUUGUUCGGAAUUACUGGGCGUAAAGGGCGCGUAGGCGGCCUGUUAAGUCGAACGUGAAAUCCCCCGGGCUCAACCCGGGAACUGCGUCCGAUACUGGCAGGCUUGAAUCCGGGAGAGGGAUGCGGAAUUCCAGGUGUAGCGGUGAAAUGCGUAGAUAUCUGGAGGAACACCGGUGGCGAAGGCGGCAUCCUGGACCGGCAUUGACGCUGAGGCGCGAAAGCCAGGGGAGCAAAGCGGG
rnacentral:rRNA from 1 species